rnacentral:rRNA from 1 species
AGAGCGAACGCUGGCGGCAGGCCUAACACAUGCAAGUCGAACGGACCCUUCGGGGUUAGUGGCGGACGGGUGAGUAACACGUGGGAACGUGCCUUUUGGUUCGGAAUAGCUCCUGGAAACGGGUGGUAAUGCCGAAUGUGCCCUUCGGGGGAAAGAUUUAUCGCCAUUAGAGCGGCCCGCGUCUGAUUAGCUAGUUGGUGAGGUAAUGGCUCACCAAGGCGACGAUCAGUAGCUGGUCUGAGAGGAUGACCAGCCACAUUGGGACUGAGACACGGCCCAAACUCCUACGGGAGCAGCAGUGGGAAUCUUGCGCAAUGGCGAAAGCCUGACGCAGCCAUGCCGCGUGAGUGAAGAAGGCC